CUCCAGGCUCUGAGCUGACAGCACAGAGCCCAAUGCUGCCAGAACUCACAAACCGUGAGAUUAUGACCUGAGCUGAAGUCCUGCGAUUAACACCCGAGCCACCCAGGUGCCCUUAACUCUUCCCUCUUGAUAUUCGCAUCCCGUGCACUUUUCUCCACCUUGAUGCACGCUGACCAGUACGAUAUUAUGACUGAGAGAACAUGGAAACAAUGAGGUGUUACUUUGGAGGCUAGGUCAUAGAAGGCAUUGCCAGGUGUGCCUUCCUCUGUCCUGGAUCACUGGCUCUGGGGAAGACAGUUGUCACGAACACAGUUAAGCAGCCUCGUCAAGAGGUCUUUGUGGUGAAGAACUGAGGCCUCCUGUCAACAGCCAUCACCAGAUUGCUGGCUGUGUCCACAUUCCAUUUUGGAAUUGGCUCUUCCUGCCCCCACCAAGCCUUCAGAUGAGCGCAGCCCUGGCGGACACGUCCCGGGAAACCCUGAGCCACAACUACCCAGCUGGUGAUUUGUAGCUCUGGCUCGGUCCCCAGGGAGCUGAAUCAUGGUGCUUUUGCUAACGAUGCCUCGUGCGGAUACCACGUGCUCCCUCUUCGCCCAGAACGCCUACCUCGGGAUUUGGGAUCUCCGACUACACUGGACAACCUUGCCCAUAACUCCGUGGCCCCUGACCCUGGCCUCCAGAUGCGGGACCUCCGUGUUCUUCGCCAUCUGCUUUUACUCCAGAUCUUCAGUGUGAAUUGACACAGGCAUCAAAGGAAAUAGCACGUAAAAGAAACAGCACAGAGUUCCCCACUGAUUUUCUACAACAUGAGAACAAUUAUUCUACAGACUCCGUUAUAACUGCUCGGACAUUACCCAUUGCUCAGCUGGGAGAGCUCAGCCUGCAAGGGUGAGUUACUGUGAUAACACGAAGACAUUCUCUCGCGUUUAGAAAGAGAAACAGACAUGGGUCACAUAAUGGGCGAUAAUUUGGAUGAGGAAAGAUGUACUGAAUGCUAAAUGCUUUAGCUGUGUUGAGGGCACCUUGGAAGCAAAGAUGAAGUAGUUAUGUCUCAUUAUCUUUAAGUCAGGUAGUAGGAGGUAGAAUUUUGGGAUUCUAAAUUGUCAUUGUAGCUCAUGCCAAAGCCGUUGAGAGCCCAGGAACAGUCGCGUCGAUUUCCCAACAGUCUUGCUAUGAGCUGUUGAAUGGGACUCCAAUCUUAGGGCAACUUUCUGCCUGGUCAUGUUGUGCUUUGAGAGGGGUGCUGCUUAAAACACUGCGUACAAGGAGCCCAGACGUGCAUGGCCCCAGUUGGACAGACUGACUGGAACAGCAGUGAGAGCCGUGUAGGGUAGCUGUGAGCAGAGCCUCUUCAGCCAUCUCCGUUUCCAGUGGUGGUGAUGGUACCUGGUCUCUUCCCUUUCCCUGAGCUGUGAAAGAGAAAGAAGACACACACAUCGCUGGAGAGUUUAUGAUUUACUUGAAGACUUGCCUGAGUUUUCUAUUUAGGACUCUGUUUUGACCGAGAGUGCUGGUAACGUGGAGUUAAACUGAAUCGUUGUAGGCAGUGCAUGCUUUUCUCCGCGAGAGUGUGUUUUCGGAUCUACGGGUGUCCCGUUGAACUAGAGGCCCCCCCUUAUAAAGUGUUAAGCGGCCCCUUCACAGGGGCAUCGGAAGGCAGGAAAAAAGGCCAUUUAGUUAACAUAAGCAGGAUAUUCCCUGGGACAAGGGGAGAUGUGUGUGCUUGAGCUUGCUGUCUGUGGCACUUGAAGGUGGUGUAAGUGGGGGUCCACCGAGUGGCAGAUGAUGUUUCUCUUAUGUGGGCAUUGUUCAGGAACCCUUCAGGCGGCACUGAACAAUUCUGGGGGAGGCGAAUUGAAAAGACUCUGAGGCCUUUAGAACAGCUUAUUAAACCAAUGAAAAUCUGCCCCAAAUAAUAGUUUUAGGACUGCAGUGGUAUGUUUGUAUAGACAUGUGCCUUCCUUCAGCAAUCUCUUAUGGCAACGGUUAAUUCUAUUUCCAAGUAAAUCCAUUCCCCAGAACAUUUCUGUAAACGUGUUGCUCAGCACACUUAUUACCCAGCAGUUUGCUUACCUAGAAAAUGCCUUCUCACUCACCCUUGAGGAGAGUGCUCGCGACAUGAAUAACGCUCUGGGAAGCAUUCAUGCUUUCUGACUUUAGAUGAUUGGAGCAUAAGGGACCAGCACAGCUGGGAGAGUCAAUACCAGAAAGAAAGAAAGAAAGAAAAAAGACUCUAAUGAUCUCUCCUAGCUUUUUUCCCUCCUCCCAUUUAAAAAAUUUCUUUUGUGUUUUUUUUUCAUUUUUAUUAACUAUAUUUUAUCACAAAAUGUACAUGUAUAAAAAGAAACAAAAGGAAAAAUAAGAUAUUCAAAAGUAAUCUAGAGCCCACCAUCCCCAGAAAUUGUUAGCAGCCUUACAAGUGUUUUUUGAAAUUAUAAAUGUAUGUACAAGCAGAAAUGUAUGUACAUGUAUGCGUAUCUUGCUCCUCCAAAUGAGGCGUAUCAUAUGCACUCUUGUGUGAAGAACCCUCAUUUGUGAACAUUCUGGUUGUGAUGCGUGUUGCCUUAGUGAUCACCUGAGACGGAGCGUGGUGAGAUUUGCUUCUCUGUCUGCCAUCCAUGCCCCACCCACCAUGCUUACGCGCCUACAUGCACACGUACGCGUGCCACACACAAAUAUAUGCCACACAGGAUGCACGCAAAGACGUACCAACAAGUCAAGAGAAUAGAAACCGCUACUUUUAAUAAAGCCUUACCAGAUACACGAUAGACAUGCCUAUGGCAUACGCAGGAGGGAAGAGGUUAGUUCCCAUGCCUGGGAGAGCGGUAUAACGUGAGUUGGAGAGCUAACCCAUGGACAGAGGGCACUAUUCCAGGAGAGCAAGAACAAUAUGCGAGAUAGUGGUGUGGAGGGUCUUGGUAAAUCUACUUGGGGGAGAGGGGGAUCUCCUGAGACAUUUAGAAAGAUUCACACUGGACAGAGGCCCCUUCCUAGUUCGCAGUCCACACACACAGGAGCCUCCAGCACAAGAUGGAUCGGACAUGGAUCAUGUCUGAGAAUGCUGGGGCGGCGGGGGGGAGGCAGUGCCGCCAGACAGAUGUCAGCCUUGCUGGGAUGCUGCUGCACAAGGUCUUUGCACUGACCCUGAAGGUCGUGUAAUGGAUCUAGGAAGAAGCUUCCAUUGUUCGCCAUCAGUGUCUGGGCAGGUAAUCACUCACGUGGGCAACGUACGUGCCCGUGCCCGUGCUGCAGUGAAAAGCAGAGGAGACUCAAGAAACGCACACAUUACUCCCCAUGUCACUGUUGCGUUCCCACUAAAUCAGAUGGCUCCUUGCUCUCUCCCAUCCAUACCCUCCCCCCGCCAGUACUGGAACGGCCCUUGGAGAUGGGGCUGGGACUGAAAGUGGGAAUGUAAGGGCGCCUUCUAAGGGAAGAAAAGUUGGGGAGGGAGCUAUGAGCAAUGCAACUUGAACUAAACAGAGUGUUGCUCAAAGGGACUCUAAACCCGAAGGUCUGUGACAUCUUGUGUUGAAGAAUACGUUUUCUGCCUCCUGCGUGCAUACGGCUUCUCCGUGACUGCUGAGUCUGUUCUAAUGUUUCCAGUUCCUUGGUUACACACUGCAGUGAAUUCAAGUGUGAGUGUUCACAUAGUUCACCCGUGAGAUGAAAUCAACAGUGGGAGUGAUAUUUGUCCAGAUUUUUCCCCAAGAGUAUACUAGUUUUCAUGUUCAUCAAUAGUGUAUGAGAAAACCUGCUACGUCACAAAUCAGCCAACUGUGUGUGCAACCAUACAUGUUAAUAUUUGCCAAUAUGGACUUUGAAAAUGAAAUUCUGGGGGCACCUGGGUGGCUCAGUCAGUUAAGCAGCGGACUUCGGCUCAGGGCGUGA